rnacentral:rRNA from 1 species
ACUCCUACGGGAGGCAGCAGUGGGGAAUCUUAGACAAUGGGGGCAACCCUGAUCUAGCCAUGCCGCGUGAGUGAUGAAGGCCUUAGGGUUGUAAAGCUCUUUCAGCUGGGAAGAUAAUGACGGUACCAGCAGAAGAAGCCCCGGCUAACUCCGUGCCAGCAGCCGCGGUAAUACGGAGGGGCUAGCGUUGUUCGGAAUUACUGGGCGUAAAGCGCACGUAGGCGGACAGGAAAGUUGGGGUGAAAUCCCGGGGCUCAACCUCGGAACUGCCUCCAAAACUAUCUGUCUGGAGUUCGAGAGAGGUGAGUGGAAUUCCGAGUGUAGAGGUGAAAUUCGUAGAUAGUUCGGAGGAACACGAGUGGCGAAGGCGGCUCACGUGGCUCGAUACUGACGCU